rnacentral:lncRNA from 1 species
GCAUUUGGAAAGGUCAUACGCCUCGACCUUGCUAUAUAUAAAACAAUUCUUUCGCUACUACCACAUGAUAUCUAGACGGACAACAACAACUGUGUUUUGAAGGAACAACAUACAAGGGCUUGCAACUACUGAGAAAACUUUGGUGCAGACUGUGUCAUAAAAAUGAAACUAGACAAAGCAGGGGAAGGCUGACCCGUAGGAAACGGGGAGAGGCUGCCCUUUAGAACCACAGAUUUAAAGCAUUUCCAAGCCAGAGAGAGGACUUCUGGGUUCCCAGCCCAAUCACUUGGUAUGGGCCCUGUUUCCUAGGAACAGUCUUUCAGACUGGAGUAUUAGUGCUCCCUGCUAAGUGCAGAGCCCAACAAGGGGCUCAAUCCCAGAAUCCCCAGAUCAUGACCUGAGCUGAAAUCAAGAGUCGGAUGCUUAACCAGCUAAGCCACCCAGACGCCCUGGCAUCAGGUCAGAAUUUUAUCAAGGUCACAUUUAGGAGAGUACAUCAAUAUUCUACAGCAGCUUUGGGGGCUGAAAUACAGAUUCCUGGAUUCAGAGUUAUUAACCAGUCAUUUCGGUCGGGUACAGGUUUAACAUCAACUGUCAUCAAAGCAACCGAUGCAGGACCAAGUCAAUUCAACAUCGACCAAACAUCUGCCCCGCCAGGCUGACCUUUAAGUCCCCGGCUUCGCAUUGAUGGAAAAGCUGACAGGAGGCGCUCGAGGGACACAGGACCGACCAGCCCCAUGGGUUCAGGGCUGCACCUUCCAGACUACUCAAAUCCUGCCGUGUUUCUUCCACAAGCUUCCUUACCUGAGAAAGGCCGCCAGAACCUCUCCCUCCUCCAGACUCACAGCACCCAGCUUACCGACCACUCUCCUCACCCUUAGCAAAGCGGAGUCCCUGUUAGGACUUGAGUCAAACCAUACAACGAGAGUGCGCUUGGCAAAUUACCAUGUGUGUGGCCUCCAGCAGAUCAAUGAAGACCUACAAGUUUCCGUUUCCCUAUCAAUAAAGUAGGAGAACGCUCACAUCACCAUUGUACUUGGGAAGACGAAAUGAGAUAAUGCAGGUGGCAGUCGACAUUUACGUCGGGAGUUUUCAUUCACAUCCAUGUCCGUGUUUAGAUGUGCAUUUUCUUAAUUUUGUUAAUUAAAUACUUGGAGAUUCUUCUUUCCGACAAAGCCUGGUGGAUGCAAAACCGACCCACCUUGAGAUCAGGCACCCCAUUAAACAGCGAGAAUCUCUUUUUGAACAUAUCCUGACUCUAGACAUUGUUUCAGCAGCACAGGAAUUAGCAGGGAUUGUCAUUGUGGUCGAAGACAGUAAGCGUCAUCAGCAGUCUUACUUGGAUUGAUUUUGUAGAUGAGAACAUUCCAGGGACCAUCCUUGCAUUGUGCUUUAACUGAGAAGCAGAAUAAAGUAAAACCAGCUAUUAAUUUAGGCAAAGCCUAAACUAUUGGGAUUUCUUUAGUCACUUUCAUCCAUCAGCUGAAUUUCUGAACGUGAAUAUUCAGAAAUAGGUGAAAGCCACGAUUUCACUCGUGGGUGGGAAGCAGUGGGCUCUCUAGAGAAGCCUAAGUGGGCCCUAAAGCUACCUCACCAGCAGGCAGGGGAAUACAAGGGGCCGAGAAAAGUCCAUUACUUUCAACUGAAACUGUGAGGGGAAUUAAGUAGGUUAAGCCCUUAGAACGUUCCUAGGUAACUUAUUUGAGUUGAAACGAACCUUACCUAAGAGCAGGAAAGCUGUUAAGGAUCGGAAGUGAUUAGGGGCUUUGUCUAAGACCCGGUCCAAAAGGGAGGAGUGUCAAGAGCAAGGUUGCUCUGAGCGGCGGCCCGGGGCGCCCUGGGUCCCCAUUCAGGGCUAUCUCCCCAAUCAGCAACACGAUACACAGCAGCGCCUCCCUGGGCCUCACCAGGCCUCGCAGUCAGCGCUGACCAGGUAGAACUCAGGUGACUGUGGGGUGCGCAGUACUUUUCUUCGGGAGUUCACGACGCGUUUAUAGGAACUGAGCGGUUAGUGGAGAGAAAACAAACGGACACCACAGGUUCCCGACUCGGGAAGCACCGCCGUCCGGGUGGCACAGCGGUGACCCUAUGUCUGUGAUAGCAAGGGUGGGCUGCAGGUGUGUGUCCAUUUUUCUGCCACUCCGGGCAAAUCGACUGUCCCCACACAGCGCUGGGUCCUUGGGUGGCGGCUGAGGACGGGCGCGGGGAGGGCACAGCUGGCACGAGAGCAGAGGCUGGGAACAAGUUCACAGUGUUUGUCUCUAGGCACCCACAGAAUAAUGGAG